GGGGUUGUGGCUCAGCUAGUAGAGCACUCGCCUCUCACAUGUGAGACGUGGGUUCGAUCCUCAGCUCCA
rnacentral:tRNA from 1 species